rnacentral:rRNA from 1 species
GACGAACGCUGGCGGCGUGCUUAACACAUGCAAGUCGAGCGGUAAGGCCCUUUCGGGGGUACACGAGCGGCGAACGGGUGAGUAACACGUGGGUGACCUGCCCUCAGCUCUGGGAUAAGCCUGGGAAACCGGGUCUAAUACCGGAUAUGACUCCAUGACGCAUGUUGUGGGGUGGAAAGCCUUGUGCGGCUGAGGAUGGGCCCGCGGCCUAUCAGCUUGUUGGUGGGGUGANGGCCUACCAAGGCGACGACGGGUAGCCGGCCUGAGAGGGCGACCGGCCACACUGGGACUGAGACACGGCCCAGACUCCUACAGGAGGCAGCAGUGGGGAAUCUUGCGCAAUGGGCGAAAGCCUGACGCAGCGACGCCGCGUGAGGGAUGACGGCCUGGU